rnacentral:lncRNA from 10 species
GAAUUGCAUUUCUCUGGUGAUUAGUGCAGUUCAGCACCUUUUCAGAUUCCUGUUGGCCAUUUGUAUGUCGUAUUUUGGGAAAUGUCUGUUCAAGUCCUUUGAUCAUUUUAAAACUCUGGUUAUUUGUUUUCUUCCUACUGAGUUGUUUGAGUUUCUUAUCUACACUUUAGAUCAUAACAACCCCUUCUCAGAUACAUGGUUUGCAAAUGUAUUCUCUCACUCUGUAAGUUCUCUCUUCACUGUAUUGUUUCCUUUACUGUGUGGAAGGGUUUCAGUUUGAUGUAAUCCUAUUUUGCUUUUGUUGCCUGAGCUUUUGGAGUCAUAUCCAAAAUUUUUGCCCAGACCAAUGUCAUGAAGCUUUUUCCCUAUGCUUUCUUCUAGUAGUGUUACAGUUUCAGGUCUUAUGUUUGUCUUUAAUCCACUUUUAUUUGAUUUUUGUAUAUGGUGUGAAAUGAACAUCUAAUUUCAUUCUUCUGUAUUUGAAUAUCCAGUUUUUCCAGCACCAUUUAUUGAGUAGGCUGUCCUUUCCCCAGUGUGUGUUCUUGGGACCUUUGUUGAAAAUCAGUUGACUGUAAAUACAUAGAUUUAUUUCUGGGUUCUUUAUUUUGUUCCUUUAGUCUAUGUGUCUGUUUUUUGGUGGUACCAUGCUGUUUUGGUUACUACAGCUUUGUAGUAUAUUUUGGAGACAGACAGUAUGAUACCUCUAGCCUUGUUCUUUUUGCUGCAGAUUGCUUUGGCUAUUUGGGGUCUUUUGUGGUUCCAUAGGAAUUUCAGAGUUGUUUUUUCAAUUUUUGUGAAGAAUUUUAUUAGUAUUUUGAUAGAGAUUGCUUUGAAUCUGUAGGUCAUUUUGGGUAGUAUGAGCAUUUUAAUAUUAAUUCUUCCAAACCGUGGACACAGCAUAUCUUUCCAUGUUUUGUGUGUGUCCUCUUCAGUUUCUUUCGUCAGUGUUUCAACAGUGUUUUCCAUGUACAGAUCUUUCAUUUCCUUGAUUAAAUUUAUUCCUAAGUAUUUUUUAUUCAUUUAUUUUAUUUUAUUUUAUUUUAUUUUAUUUAUUUAUUUAUUUUUGAGGUGGAGUCUCACUCUGUAGCCCAAGCUGGAGUGGCGUGAUCUCGACUCACUGCAACCUCCGCCUCCUGGGAUCAAGUGAUUCUCGUGCCUCAGCCUCCUGAGUAGCCGGGACUACAGGUCACAGAAUUUUCCACACUCCUUGACAGAGGUGCUUAACCCUUAUCCAUCAGCAUUCUCAGACAGCACCUCCGGUUAGGGACAGUAUCUGACCGUCCGACAUCC